AUUGAACGCUGGCGGCAGGCUUACCACAUGCAAGUCGAACGAGUGGCGGACGGGUGAGUAAUGCUUGGUAAUCUUGCUUAUGGAGGGGGAUAACUACUGGAAACUGUAGCUAAUACCGCGUACCAUAUGUUUAGCCCAAGUGGGAUUAGGUAGUUGGUGAGGUAAAGGCUCACCAAGCCGACGAUCACUAGCUGGGCCGAGAGGAUGACCAGCCACACUGGGACUGAGACACGGCCCAGACUCCUACGGGAGGCAGCAGUGGGGAAUAUGGCGCAAUGGGGGAAACCUGACGCAGCAAUGCCGCGUGAAUGAUGACGGCCUUCGGGUUGUAAAGCUCUGUUAAUCGGGAGACGGUACCGGAAUAGAAAGCCACGGCUAACUACGUGCCAGCAGCCGCGGUAAUUC
rnacentral:rRNA from 1 species